UCGCUAGACAAUCAAGCUGCAAUCAGGAUGGUGCAAACAAACCUUCCCAUGAAGAAAAUUGACAGAAUUGUGGCAUACCUGUCAGAUUAGCCUGAAGCCAGAAGGCCUUCCUUUUAUUGGUUUUUGGGGAAAAUAUGACAUUCUUCCCCACGGGUCUUCACUUUGCCAGAAGAAAGGCACAAGAAGCUGAGCAAAGGCCAAGUGAGUCUUGAUUGGAACUGUCUUUGGUUCUGAGAAGAGACCUCUCAAGAUACUACUGUGGGUCAUCACGAUUGUAGUGCCCCUCCUGAGCUGCAAAAUAGAAUUUCAUGUGAGCGUAAAGGACAGAGCCCUGUGCAAAAGCAGACCCACAAAUUUUGAAGGUGAAUUUAAAAAACAAAAAACAGGA